AAUUAAAUUUGUAUGCUGACCUUCCAACAUUAAGGUGCUUAGUCAACGUAGUUAAAGGUGCUUUGGCAAGAUAUACAGAUGCUUUCACAAAGACAUUUAACAUUUUUAUCUGUGUUAGAAUUUAACUUAGACGGGAUCAAGUGAUUACUGGCAGAGCCCAAUUCGUUAUAACCUUAUUGGAUUAUAUUUUUAUCUUCUUCAAUGAUGAUGACUACUUUAAUGGUGCUUUUAAUGUUUGCACUUGAUAUCUCUGUGUGUCUGUAGUUUUUAUGGUGCUUUAUUUUAGUGUUUGUAUUUUACACAAGCAUAGCUAUUAUUCAUUUGAACCUGCAGCGAUGAUAUAAUUAAUUCCAUUUUGUGAUUUAGCUGGCAUAGACCAAUAUUACUUGCUUGGGCAUUAUCAGACAAGCACCUGAUUAAAAUGUGACAGUGCAACCAGCUUGCAAGAACUAUCAAUGUUGCCACUUUGUGGGAUUGUGCCUGUCGUGCUUAGGAUGUUCAUCUGCUGUUCUUGUACACCCUCAUUGAGGCAAUGAAGUCUUGCAAUUUGUGUGCACCAAAAAUAAUGAAGGCUCAGAUAGACUCUCUUGCUGAGAGGAAACAACUAGGGGUAU